rnacentral:tRNA from 1 species
GGCCAAGUACUCAGUGGUUAGAGCGUGGGUCCCGUACCCGAAAGGUCACGGGAUCAAAUCCCGCUAGAGGCUG